GACGAACGCUGGCGGCGUGCUUAACACAUGCAAGUCGUACGGUAAGGCCCUUUCGGGGGUACACGAGUGGCGAACGGGUGAGUAACACGUGAGUAACCUGCCCACAACUUUGGGAUAACGCUAGGAAACUGGUGCUAAUACUGGAUAUGUGCUCCUGCUGCAUGGUGGGGGUUGGAAAGCUCCGGCGGUUGUGGAUGGACUCGCGGCCUAUCAGCUUGUUGGUGGGGUAGUGGCCUACCAAGGCGGCGACGGGUAGCCGGCCUGAGAGGGUGACCGGCCACAUUGAGACUGAGAUACGGCCCAGACUCCUACGGGAGGCAGCAGGGGGGAAGAUUGCACAAUGGGCGCAAGCCUGAUGCAGCAACGCCGCGUGCGGGAUGACGGCCUUCGGGUUGUAAACCGCUUUCAGCAGGGACGAAGCUUUUUGUGACGGUACCUGCAGAAGAAGCACCGGCUAACUACGUG
rnacentral:rRNA from 1 species